UACGUAGGGUGCAAGCGUUGUCCGGAAUUAUUGGGCGUAAAGGGUCCGCAGGUGGCAGUGUAAGUCUGCUGUCAAAGAAUGAGGCUUAACCUUAUCAAGGCAGUGGAAACUACACAGCUAGAGUACGGUCGGGGUAGAAGGAAUUCCUGGUGUAGCGGUGAAAUGCGUAGAGAUCAGGAAGAACACCGGUGGCGAAAGCGUUCUGCUAGACCUGUACUGACACUGAGGGACGAAAGCUAGGGGAGCGAAUGGG
rnacentral:rRNA from 1 species